AUCAAAUUCUCGCGUAUUAAGCAUAUCUUAAAUGUAUAUGUUAGAUAUGCGUGUUAAUAAUACUCAGAUCGAAUAAAACCACCUAAAACUCUUUAGGUUUUCAUUGACGGUUUUUCUUCUUGAAAAUCGAGAUACAGACGGAUGUCAAGAGUAGAUGAAACCAUGUUAACAUCUACUUUUUCUGAGCACAUAGGGCAUGUCUUUUCAGAUUCAAUGAUCCUAAUUCAAUAGAAAAUAAUGAAAUGCAUUAUCUUUAAAAUAAAAUGUUAUACGUACCUUAAGAAUUCACUUUUUAUACAAGGAAAAUCACACUGUGGACACGCUGUAAAGUCAUUUUCAAUGAUAUGUCGUCCCUGAAAAUUGUUGUAUCAUUAAAAAAACAAUAUAUGAAUUACAUUUUAAAAUCAAUACAAGAAUGCUCUAAAUACACUAACUGUAACUAUACAAAAAGGUAUUGUAUUUUUGCAUUUGUUGCAAUUAAUCUCUGUUUCUGGAAGUUUAUUCUUGCAAUAUGGGCAUGGAGUUAGAGCAUCAAUUUGGCUUCUAUAUUCCGGACGCAUCAACAUAGCGGCGUAAUUAAAUGCAGCGUACUUCAAUCCAGCUCUUUGACAUUCUAUUACAGUUGAAGUCAAAAUUGGAACAAUAUCUGAAGCGAAAAGAAUAUCUACUCUUAUUAACAUACGAGCACCACGUAAAUGAUCAUUUUUUUUUACAUGAAGCCUGACAAGAAUGUAUGAAUGUAAAAGUCUUAAAUUAUCUUGCAUUUCUGAAGGUAUAUUGAUUUUAUUUUUUUUCAGUUCUUGAUACAUGCCAAAUAAAACAUCAUGAGCGCUUCUAUAAUUUCCUGUAAAACAAACCGUUGUUGCAUCCCAUAAUGUGAUGGUAGAGGAAUUCUGCGAUAUAAUAGCCAAUAGAUCUCCAUCAGAAUCCCAUCCAAAACCAGUGCACAGACCAGCAAUUUGGAUACGUUCUUGCAAAUCGCCUUGUCUAUCAAAAAUAGCAACUGAAGAAUCAUAACCAGUAGUUGCUAAAUGAGUGCUAUUACCAGGACGCCAGGAAAUGAAAACGGUACCAGUACCAUGGGGUUGAUACAACUGAUAAAGAACCUACAUCAAAAUAAUUGAAUAAAUGUACAUAUACUAUAUGCUGACAGAUAUGUACAAAUAAAAUAAAUACUGAUUUCUUCUUAUAUA